AAAGCUUUAGCUUAAUUAAAGCGUCUGUUUUGCAUGCAGAAGAUGUGGAUUAGUUCUCCGUAAGUUUUA
rnacentral:tRNA from 1 species